rnacentral:rRNA from 1 species
AACGAACGCUGGCGGCAUGCCUAACACAUGCAAGUCGAACGAGACCUUCGGGUCUGGUGGCGCACGGGUGCGUACCGCGUGGGAAGCUGCCCUUAGGUUCGGAAUAACUCCCCGUAAGGGGUGCUAAUACCGGAUAAUGUCUUCGGACCAAAGAUUUAUUGCCUUUGGAUGGGCCCGCGUUGGAUUAGCUAGUUGGUAGGGUAAAAGCCUACCAAGGCGACGAUCCAUAGCUGGUCUGAGAGGAUGAUCAGCCACACUGGGACUGAGACACGGCCCAGACUCCUACGGGAGGCAGCAGUGGGGAAUAUUGGACAAUGGACGAAAGCCUGAUCCAGCAAUGCCGCGUGAGUGAUGAAGGCCUUAGGGUUGUAAAGCUCUUUUACCCGGGAAGAUAAUGACAGUACCGGGAGAAUAAGCUCCGGCUAACUCCGUG